rnacentral:misc_RNA from 1 species
GAGGAAGGUGAAGAUUAUUGAUAACUUGUUGAAGGAGCAUAUAUAUUUGGAGUUCAGUAUGUGAGGAUUUGCUACCAUCCUUGUUAUAAUUAAAUUGUUGUUUCUGAUGUGUAGCACUGCUGCUGUAAAAUUGUCAAAAUUGUGUCUAUGUUCUCAUUAAAUGUGUUUUUGUGGUAUCAAGUCUGAUAUUUGAAAAUAAAGA